UACGUAGGUGACUAGCGUUGUCCGGAUUUACUGGGCGUAAAGAGCGCGCAGGCGGUCGUUCAAGUCGAGUGUGAAAGCCCCCGGCUCAACUGGGGAGGGUCAUUCGAUACUGCCUUUCUUGAGUGCCGGAGAGGAAAGCGGAAUUCCUGGUGUAGAGGUGAAAUUCGUAGAUAUCAGGAGGAACACCAGUGGCGAAGGCGGCUUUCUGGACGGUAACUGACGCUGAGACGCGAAAGCGUGGGGAGCAAACAGG
rnacentral:rRNA from 1 species